AAGCCCUCAGUAGCUGAAUUAACCCAGCUACCUUUAUUUGCAAACAGAAGGACUCAAUUUAUACAGAGAGGUAGAGAACUAUCCUCAUGCCCAGAAUGAAGCUAUGAAUCCUGAUUAUGCUCAAGUGUAAGGGCAAAGACUGAGGUAUGCACUGAAGAGAAAUGAAAAGUUUCCAGUGAGGUUUGUGUAGAACCCUAUUUCUGAGCUUGGCACCAGGUAGGUACAUGAGCAUGUACAUGUGUGUAUGUGCAGGUGCGUCUGGGGAUACUUCAGUGUGUGCUUUAGACAUCACCCCUGUAUCACUGUUCUAUAACACCAUGACUUUGGAAGGACCCACAUUCAGUCCCCAGAAUGAUGCAGAUAUAGAAGGCCCUUACACAGUCACUGGGAAUCAUAAAGGGGCAAAGAUUUUCCUCAUUCUUCGUAUAUUAUUUUUUGAGUGUCCAUUUUAUGCCAGGUUCCCUGCUAGGCAUUGAGGACGCCAAGACAUUUUCCCAUUUAGCACCUCUACCCCAUCCCCUUACUAGCCUCACCUUGGCCCCUGUAGAGUAGGAGGGAGAAUAAAAAACAAG
rnacentral:lncRNA from 1 species